UACGGAGGGUGCGAGCGUUGUCCGGAAUCAUUGGGCGUAAAGGGCGCGUAGGUGGCCCGGUCAGCGUGCGGUGAAAGCUCGGGGCUCAACCCCGAGUCGGCCGUGCGAACUGCUGGGCUCGAGCACUGUAGAGGCAGGCGGAAUCCGGGUGUAGCGGUGGAAUGCGUAGAGAUCCGGAAGAACACCGGUGGCGAAGGCGGCCUGCUGGGCAGUGGCUGGACACUGAGACGCGAAAGCGUGGGGAGCAAACAGGG
rnacentral:rRNA from 1 species